GCCAGGCAUGGUGAUGCACACCUGUAGUCCCAGUCACUGGGGAGGCUGAGGUAGAAGGGUCGCUUGAGCCCAUAGGUGUGAGACCAGCCUGGGCAACAUAGCAAGACCCUAUCUAAG
rnacentral:sRNA from 1 species